rnacentral:rRNA from 1 species
CAACUUUUAUCAAUGGAUCUCUUGGUUCUCGCAUCGAUGAAGAACGUAGCAAAGUGCGAUAACUAGUGUGAAUUGCAUAUUCAGUGAAUCAUCGAGUCUUUGAACGCAUCUUGCACUCAAUGGUAUUCCAUUGAGUACGCCUGUUUCAGUAUCAAAA